CACGUAGGGUGCGAGCGUUGUCCGGAAUUAUUGGGCGUAAAGAGCUCGUAGGCGGUGUGUCGCGUCGGCCGUGAAACCUGCAGCUUAACUGUGGGCUUGCGGUCGAUACGGGCAUCACUGGAGUUCGGCAGGGGAGACUGGAAUCCUGGUGUAGCGGUGAAAUGCGCAGAUACUCAGGAGGAACACCGGUGGCGAAGGCGGAUCUCUGGGCCUUACCUGACGCUGGAGGCGCGAAAGCUAGGGGAGCGA
rnacentral:rRNA from 1 species